UACGUAGGCGGAUUGGAAAGUAGGGGGUGAAAUCCCAGGGCUCAACCCUGGAACUGCCUCCUAAACUAUCAGUCUAGAGUUCGAGAGAGGUGAGUGGAAUUCCAAGUGUAGAGGUGAAAUUCGUAGAUAUUUGGAGGAACACCAGUUGCGAAGGCGGCUCACUGGCUCGAUACUGACGCUGAGGUACGAAAGUGUGGGGAGCAAACAGGAUUAGAUACCCUGGUAGUCC
rnacentral:rRNA from 1 species